GACGAACGCUGGCGGCGUGCUUAACACAUGCAAGUCGAACGGAAAGGCCCUGCUUUUGUGGGGUGCUCGAGUGGCGAACGGGUGAGUAACACGUGAGUAACCUGCCCUUGACUUUGGGAUAACUUCAGGAAACUGGGGCUAAUACCGGAUAGGAGCUCCUGCUGCAUGGUGGGGGUUGGAAAGUUUCGGCGGUUGGGGAUGGACUCGCGGCUUAUCAGCUUGUUGGUGGGGUAGUGGCUUACCAAGGCUUUGACGGGUAGCCGGCCUGAGAGGGUGACCGGCGACAUUGGGACUGAGAUACGGCCCAGAAUCCUACGGGAGGCAGCAGUGGGGAAUAUUGCACAAUGGGCGGAAGCCUGAUGCAGCAACGCCGCGUGCGGGAUGACGGCCUUCGGGUUGUAAACCGCUUUCGCAUGUGACGAAGCGUGAGUGACGGUAAUGGGUAAAGAAGCACCGGCUAACUACGUG
rnacentral:rRNA from 1 species